GAUGAACGCUGGCGGCGUGCUUAACACAUGCAAGUCGAACGGAAAGGCUCCUGCUUGCAGGGGUACUCGAGUGGCGAACGGGUGAGUAACACGUGGGUGAUCUGCCCUGCACUUCGGGAUAAGCCUGGGAAACUGGGUCUAAUACCGGAUAGGACGAUGGUUUGGAUGCCAUUGUGGAAAGUUUUUUCGGUGUGGGAUGAGCUCGCGGCCUAUCAGCUUGUUGGUGGGGUAAUGGCCUACCAAGGCGUCGACGGGUAGCCGGCCUGAGAGGGUGUACGGCCACAUUGGGACUGAGAUACGGCCCAGACUCCUACGGGAGGCAGCAGUGGGGAAUAUUGCACAAUGGGCGCAAGCCUGAUGCAGCGACACCGCGUGGGGGAUGACGGCCUUCGGGUUGUAAACUCCUUUCGCUAGGGACGAAGCGCAAGUGACGGUACCUGGAGAAGAAGCACCGGCUAACUACGUG
rnacentral:rRNA from 1 species